GAUGAACGCUGGCGGCGUGCCUAAUACAUGCAAGUCGAGCGCACAGAUCAGGAGCUUGCUCCUUUGACGUUAGCGGCGGACGUGUGAGUAACACGUGGGUAACCUACCUAUAAGACUGGAAUAACUCCGGGAAACCGGGGCUAAUGCCGGAUAACAUUUAGAACCGCAUGGUUCUAAAGUGAAAGAUGGUUUUGCUAUCACUUAUAGAUGGACCCGCGCCGUAUUAGCUAGUUGGUAAGGUAACGGCUUACCAAGGCAACGAUACGUAGCCGACCUGAGAGGGUGAUCGGCCACACUAGAACUGAGACACGGUCCAGACUCCUACGGGAGGCAGCAGUAGGGAAUCUUCGGCAAUGGGCGAAAGCCUGACGGAGCAACGCCGCGUGAGUGAUGAAGGUCUUCGGAUCGUAAAACUCUGGUAUUAGGGAAGAACAAAUGUGUAAGUAACUGUGCAGGUCUUGACGGUACCUAAUCAGAAAGCCACGGCUAACUACGUG
rnacentral:rRNA from 1 species